UCAACAUCAGGGGUAUAAAAGGCUGGGCUGAAGGAGCAGCUGACCUUUGCAGCCUCCUGAAGUGGUGGGAUGUUCCUCUGUAUGGGCAGAUGCCUGAAGUCCUCUGUAACUCCACAUUUUGUGGUGUUACUCUGUCUAUGGUGGCCGUCUCAACUGUGAUACCCAUGAUGAGAAGGAAGAUGAAGAGAUGAAGCAUGAAGAAAAUGGGUGGAUGAGAUUCAGAAUAUUAAUAAGAAAUGAGGCGUGUUGAACUGCUUCCAGGUGGCAGAUGGUAAAGGAUCCCACUCUCAUGUUGGCUAGAGCUGCAACUGGCUGCAAAGCAGCUUUUCUUCUGUGUUGUGGGAUCUGCCAUGGGAAUUCUCAGACAGAAAAUAAAAGGGCAGAGAAAACCAGGAAGGCAGGAAGGAAUCUCACAGGCUGAGGCUAUCAUCUUCCAACCCAACCCCCUGCCUGUCUGAGAGUUUAGAGACCAUGGUGACCAUCAGCAGGCUUCUGUGGGCUCCUUCAGGGGCUUCCAGACUGAGGAAGAAUAUAGAUUUUCCCCUGAUUUACAGAGGGAAUUCAGAGUCUCUGCUGGCCUGAAGUGUUGCUGUAGGCUGUUCAACAUGUGCUGUCUGUUAUUUGAACUUGGACGUGGGGAUUUAUGUGCAAAUGGUGCAACUUAUCACUCGGGUGAGGUCUGAAUUUCAAAAAUGGGUGCUGUGGCUGGUCCUGUGAUAGCUGAUGUUCAGAACGUGCCUGUGGCUGCUUGCUGAGGUCCUCUCCAGCCUCUUGGCAGGAAGAAUAAUUCCAGUUCUUGUCUGACAAGUAAAUGUGUGUGUGGGA